GUGAUGUUUUGCUACUCUGAUACUAGCGGCCAUCAAAUUUUGAAUCUUCUCAAAUAUGUUCUGGUUCGGUUUAAACAUGUUUGCCUUGUAUUUUUGAAUAUUAUACAUAGUGAACUUGUUACCUGUCAAACAAGGACUUCACAAUUUGAUUUAAGUAUAUGAGCUUUCAGUUGCCAUAUGGAGGGGGUUCUAGUUUGUCUACAAUAAGCAGGUAAAUAAUUAAUAAAUAAACACUAUGUGCUGUAGGUUAUUUUGUAAUGAUGAUUUUUUUUGGGUUAAAUUUUGCAAUUAUUAAUGUUUUAUCAGAUACACACAGACACACACUUAAGCUUAACUAUUCAGCAGAGAACCCCCAUCUAUACAAAGGCUUUGUGUUGAUCACACCAUAUUGUGCAACAUCAAGUAGCAAGUCCAGCAUGUUGAUAGAAAAGAAGAAAUGACCUGCCAAUGGCCUCACCUAAGGCAGGCCUAGGGUGGCCCUGAGCUUAGCUUGAUCAUUAUUAAACUGUGCUCAUGCUUGAUCUUGAAUUCACAAUGAGCUUCAGUUUGAUUCAGGGCUGGGCCAUUCUUGUUUUUGCCCUUAAAAGUUUUGUUUAACUCUCUCAAACAGACUUUUCAAAUACUUAAAUAUUAUUUAAUGGAUG
rnacentral:misc_RNA from 1 species